GUCUCUGUGGGGCAAUCGGUUAGCGCGUUCGGCUGUUAACCAAAAGGUGGUGGUUCAAGCCCACCCAGGGACG
rnacentral:tRNA from 1 species